rnacentral:rRNA from 1 species
ACGGAAGGCGGCAGUGAGGAAUAUUGGUCAAUGGGCGCAGGCCUGAACCAGCCAAGUCGCGUGAGGGACGACGGUCAUACGGAUUGUAAACCUCUUUUGCCGGGGAGUAACGUGCGGGACGCGUCCCGUAUUGAGAGUACCCGGAGAAAAAGCAUCGGCUAACUCCGUGCCAGCAGCCGCGGUAAUACGGAGGAUGCGAGCGUUAUCCGGAUUUAUUGGGUUUAAAGGGUGCGCAGGCGGCGCGUCAAGUCAGCGGUCAAAUCCCGGGGCUCAACCUCGGUCCGCCGUUGAAACUGCCGUGCUCGAGUUCGUGCGAGGAGAGCGGAAUGCGUGGUGUAGCGGUGAAAUGCAUAGAUAUCACGCAGAACGCCGAUUGCGAAGGCAGCCCUCCGGCACUGGACUGACGCUGAGGCACGAAAGCGUGGGUAUCAAACAGGAUUAGAUACCCUGGUA